GUAAUGGUUAGGUUUUUGAGAUCAACGUUUUUAGGCGUGACCUAUGAGUCUCAGUCAAGAGUGUUGUAGAAAUGUGGUUUGUUGAAAAAUGUUUGGACAGCCCCUUUCGGGGUGUUAAACACGAUACGAGUUCACAUGGGUUGGUCGAAAAAGACGCGCCCCUUUUGCCAACGACGGUAAGGUCGAAGGCUUGGGGGGACGCGUCCGAUCGGCAAUGAUCCUUCCGCAGGUUCACCUACGGAAA
rnacentral:misc_RNA from 1 species